CCCUUAGAUGUUCUGGGCUGCACGCGCGCUACACUGAAGCGUUCAACGAGUAUUUCACCUUGCCCGGGAGGGUUGGGUAAUCUUUUUAAAACGCUUCGUGAUGGGGAUAGAUUAUUGCAAUUAUUAAUCUUCAACGAGGAAUUCCUAGUAAGCGCGAGUCAUCAGCUCGCGCUGAUUACGUCCCUGCCCUUUGUACACACCGCCCGUCGCUACUACAGAGUGCCCGUGUCCAAGAAACGGUCGGACCUGUGCGGCCUCUCCGGGCGACCGGAGGGCCGUUACGGGGAAGACCCUUUAUUUGACGCGGGUCGAUGAAGUAAAAGUCGUAACA
rnacentral:rRNA from 1 species